GAUGAACGCUGGCGGCGUGCUUAACACAUGCAAGUCGAACGAAGAUGCCGGAGUGCUUGCACUUUGGCAGACUGAGUGGCGGACGGGUGAGUAACGCGUGGGUAACCUGCCUUAUACAGGGGGAUAACAGUUGGAACGACUGCUAAUACCGCAUAAGCGCACGGUAUCGCAUGAUACAGUGUGAAAAACUCCGGUGGUAUAAGAUGGACCCGCGUCUGAUUAGCUAGUUGGUGAGGUAACGGCCCACCAAGGCGACGAUCAGUAGCCGGCCUGAGAGGGUGAACGGCCACAUUGGGACUGAGACACGGCCCAAACUCCUACGGGAGGCAGCAGUGGGGAAUAUUGCACAAUGGGGGGAAACCCUGAUGCAGCGACGCCGCGUGAGUGAUGAAGUAUUUCGGUAUGUAAAACUCUAUCAGCAGGGAAGAUAAUGACGGUACCUGACUAAGAAGCACCGGCUAAAUACGUG
rnacentral:rRNA from 1 species